UACAGAGGUCUCAAGCGUUGUUCGGAUUCAUUGGGCGUAAAGGGUGCGUAGGCGGCGCGGUAAGUCGGGUGUGAAAUCUCGGAGCUUAACUUCGAAACUGCAUUCGAUACUGCCGUGCUUGAGGACUGGAGAGGAGACUGGAAUUUACGGUGUAGCGGUGAAAUGCGUAGAUAUCGUAAGGAAGACCAGUGGCGAAGGCGGAUCUCUGGACAGUUCCUGACGCUGAGGCACGAAGGUCAGGGGAGCAAACGGG
rnacentral:rRNA from 1 species